rnacentral:rRNA from 1 species
UCUGACUGGAAGGACUUCCAAGAAAAGCCUCUAAGGUAUAGCACAAACGACCGUACCGCAAACCGACUCAGGUGGGUGAGGCGAAUAGCCUAAGGUGCUUGAGAGAACUGAGGUGAAGGAACUCGGCAAAUUAGCUCCGUAACUUCGGGAGAAGGAGUGCCAGAAUGUGUGUAGGAGUACAUCCGUAGCAUUUUCUGGUCGCAGAGAAAUGGCAGAAGCGACUGUUUACCAAAAACACAGGACUGUGCAAAGCCGCAAGGCGCCGUAUACAGUCCGACACGUGCCCGGUGCCGGAAGGUUAACAGGAGAGGUCAGCGCAAGCGAAGCCUUGAAUCGAAGCCCCGGUAAACGGCGGCCGUAACGAUAACGUCCUAAGGUAGCGAAAUUCCUUGUCAGGUAAGUUCUGACCUGCACGAAUCGUGUAACGACUUCUGCGCUGUCUCAACCUCGGACUCAGCGAAAUUGUAGUGCCGGUGAAGAUGCCGGCUACCCGCAUCUGGACAGAAAGACCCUAUGAACCUUUACUGCAACUUGACGUUGGAACUCGGCUGUAUUUGUGUAGGAUAGGUGGGAGACUUUGAAGCAGGGCCGCCAGGUCUUGCGGAGUCGUCGUUGAAAUACCACCCUGGUGCUGACGAGUUUCUAACCGUGUCCGUAAGCCGGACAUGAGACAGCGUCUGGUGGGCAGUUUGACUGAGGCGGUCGCCUCCUAAAAGGUAACGGAGGCAUUCAAAGGUCCCCUCAGCGUGGUCGGUAAUCACGCGCAGAGUGCAAACGCAUAAGGGGGCUUAACUGCGAGACCGACAGGUCGAGCAGGUACGAAAGUAGGAGUUAGUGAUCCCGCGGUUUAGCGUGGAAUUGCCGUUGCUCAAUGGAUAAAAGGUACUCUAGGGAUAACAGGCUGAUCUCCCCCAAGCGUCCAUAGCGACGGGGAGGUUUGGCACCUCGAUGUCGGCUCAUCGCAUCCUGGGGCUGGAGAAGGUCCCAAGGGUUUGGCUGUUCGCCAAUUAAAGCGGUACGUGAGCUGGGUUCAGAACGUCGUGAGACAGUUCGGUCCCUAUCCGAUGUGGGCGUAGGAAGCUUGAUGGAACUUGUCCCUAGUACGAGAGGACCGGGAUGAACGCACCUCUGGUGUACCAGUUGUCACGCCAGUGGCAUCGCUGGGUAGCUAUGUGCGGCAGAGAGAAACGCUGAAAGCAUCUAAGCGUGAAGCUCCUCCAAAGAUGAGGCUUCCCUGGGGGCAACCCCCUGAAGGGCCGUCCGAGACCAGGACGUCGAUAGGUCACAGAUGUAAGCACCGCAAGGUGUUGAGUCGAGUGAUACUAAUCGCCCGUGUGGCUUC